AUUGAAAUUUUUAACACUAUUUUCUUAAUUUAAAUUUAUUUUCAAUUUUUUAGUUCGGUUUUCUAUAAAAAGCGUGUUUUUUAGUUUUUUUAAACUAUUAUUUAUUUUCUACUUUUUAGUUUGUUUUAAAACUAUUAUUUGUUUUGUAGAAUUAAAAUUCUCUUUAGUAUACAAAAAUUUGUCAAUAUUAGAGAAAACGGCUAAAGAAAAUUAUUGGAAAUAAAAAUUAACAUCGAGUCCUGCCUUAUCGACUGUAGAGAAAAAUUCUAGAAAAUUGUAAUUAAUUUUCCUACCUUAUCGACUAUAGAUGAAAAUUAUAUAAAUCAUAUUUUGCAAAUUGAAAAGCCUAGAAGUCGGUGUCUAAUGGAUGUUACUAAGUUAAUUUUGCCACCGACUUCUAGGCCGAUGCACCUAAAAUUAGUUUUUUUUUUUGCUUUUUUGUGCUUUGGGAAUGGGUUUUUUCUUUAAAGCUUUUCAGUGAUACGAAUAGUUGUCACUAUCCAUACAAGUGGGAAGUUCUAAUCAAUACAAAGAAUAUAAGUCCAAACGAGGUAUUUUACAUAUUCAGUUGUCGAGUUCCCUCGACUUUCUCUGGUCUCCAUCAUCAGGUCAGCUCCAAACCUUCACUGUUGCAAAGGUCUUGUCAAUACAAAUAAUUUAAGCCCAAACACGAGGUAGUUUACAUAUUCAGUUGUCGAGUUCCCUCGACCCUCUCUGGUCUCCAUCAUCAGGUCAGCUCCAAAUCUUCACAGUUGAAUAGUGCUUUUAG
rnacentral:lncRNA from 1 species